AUUGAACGCUGGCGGCAGGCCUAACACAUGCAAGUCGAGCGGAUGAAGGGGGCUUGCUCCUGGAUUCAGCGGCGGACGGGUGAGUAAUGCCUAGGAAUCUGCCUGGUAGUGGGGGAUAACGUCCGGAAACGGGCGCUAAUACCGCAUACGUCCUGAGGGAGAAAGUGGGGGAUCUUCGGACCUCACGCUAUCAGAUGAGCCUAGGUCGGAUUAGCUAGUUGGUGGGGUAAAGGCCUACCAAGGCGACGAUCCGUAACUGGUCUGAGAGGAUGAUCAGUCACACUGGAACUGAGACACGGUCCAGACUCCUACGGGAGGCAGCAGUGGGGAAUAUUGGACAAUGGGCGAAAGCCUGAUCCAACCAUGCCGCGUGUGUGAAGAAGGUCUUCGGAUUGUAAAGCACUUUAAGUUGGGAGGAAGGGCAGUAAGUUAAUACCUUGCUGUUUUGACGUUACCAACAGAAUAAGCACCGGCUAACUUCGUG
rnacentral:rRNA from 1 species